rnacentral:rRNA from 1 species
GGCUACACACGUGCUACAAUGGGUAGAACAGAGAGUCGCAAAGCUGUGAAGUGGAGCUAAUCUCAGAAAACUAUUCUUAGUUCGGAUUGUACUCUGCAACUCGAGUACAUGAAGUUGGAAUCGCUAGUAAUCGCGAAUCAGCAAUGUCGCGGUGAAUACGUUCUCGGGUCUUGUACACACCGCCCGUCACACCACGAGAGUUGGUUGCACCUGAAGUAGCAGGCCUAACCGCAAGGAGGGAUGCUCCGAGGGUGUGAUUAGCGAUUGGGGUGAAGUCGUAACAAGGUAUCCGUACGGGAACGU